GGCUUCGUGGUCGAGUGGUAAGAACACUUGCCUCUCAUCCUGGAGUCUCGGGUUCAAUACCCGGUCGAGGAGUUA